AUUUAUUCCAUCAUUUACUGGAUGAACAUCAGGAUUUCAGGGUGAGAGUGUGACAGUUGAGUGUUGGUGUUGUGUUGUCUCACACUGUUUCUCAUGUUUCUCUUGCUCUCAUUUAUUCCAUCAUUUACUGGAUGAACAUCAGACGAACUCGGUGAGUGUGUGACAGUUGAGUGUUGGUGUUGUGUUGUCUCACACUGUUUCUCAUGUUUCUCUUGCUCUCAUUUAUUCCAUCA